AUGCAAUUUGAUAUACACAGUCACAGUCACAGUCACAGUCACAGUCACAGUCACACACGCGCACAUUUAUAUGUCAACCGUCCAAAAACCUUAACAAUGGAGCACUUGAAUACUACUCCAAACUCCCCAACAAAGAAAGAGGUAAUGAACAGAUGCUUUUGUCUCAUUCCUCCAAAUUGGGAUUGGAUAAAUCAGAAGAUUGAUAAUAGUAGAUAG